UCCGGAAUUAUUGGGCGUAAAGGGUGCGUAGGCGGCAUGAUAAGUUAUUGGCGGUAAAUCGAGGCUCAACCUCGUGGAAACUGAUAAUACUGUUUUGCUUGAGUACAGGAGAGGUUAACGGAACUCCAUGUGGAGCGGUAAAAUGUGUAGAUAUAUGGAAGAACACCAAUAACGGCGAAGGCAGUUAACUAUUCUGUUACUGACGUUGAGGCACGAAAGCGUGGGGAGCAAAAAGG
rnacentral:rRNA from 1 species